rnacentral:rRNA from 1 species
UACGGAAGGCAGCAGUGGGGAAUAUUGCACAAUGGGCGCAAGCCUGAUGCAGCCAUGCCGCGUGUAUGAAGAAGGCCUUCGGGUUGUAAAGUACUUUCAGUCGUGAGGAAGGUGUUAAGGUUAAUAACCUUAGCAAUUGACGUUAGCGACAGAAGAAGCACCGGCUAACUCCGUGCCAGCAGCCGCGGUAAUACGGAGGGUGCGAGCGUUAAUCGGAAUUACUGGGCUAAAGGGCACGCAGGCGGUUAAUUAAGUUGGAUGUGAAAUCCCCGGGCUUAACCUGGGAAUGGCAUUCAAGACUGGUUAGCUAGAGUCUUGUAGAGGGGGUAGAAUUCCAUGUGUAGCGGUGAAAAUGCGUAGAGAUGUGGAGGAAUACCGGUGGCGAAGGCGGCCCCUGGACAAAGGACUGAACGCUCAUGUGCGAAAGCGUGGGGAGCAAAAC